rnacentral:rRNA from 1 species
UACGUAGGUGGCAAGCGUUGUCCGGAUUUACUGGGCGUAAAGAGCGCGCAGGCGGUCGUACAAGUCGCGUGUGAAAGCCCCCGGCUCAACUGGGGAGGGUCACGCGAUACUGUUCGACUCGAAGGCAGGAGAGGGAAGCGGAAUUCCCGGUGUAGUGGUGAAAUGCGUAGAUAUCGGGAGGAACACCAGUGGCGAAGGCGGCUAUCUGGACGGUUUCUGACACUAAGACUCGAAAGCGUGGGGAGCAAACAGG